AAGUCGAGCGAACAGACGAGGAGCUUGCUUCUCUGACGUUAGCGGCGGACGGGUGAGUAACACGUGGAUAACCUACCUAUAAGACUGGGAUAACUUCGGGAAACCGGAGCUAAUACCGGAUAAUAUAUUGAACCGCAUGGUUCAAUAGUGAAAGACGGUUUUGCUGUCACUUAUAGAUGGAUCCGCGCCGCAUUAGCUAGUUGGUAAGGUAACGGCUUACCAAGGCAACGAUGCGUAGCCGACCUGAGAGGGUGAUCGGCCACACUGGAACUGAGACACGGUCCAGACUCCUACGGGAGGCAGCAGUAGGGAAUCUUCCGCAAUGGGCGAAAGCCUGACGGAGCAACGCCGCGUGAGUGAUGAAGGUCUUCGGAUCGUAAAACUCUGUUAUUAGGGAAGAACAAAUGUGUAAGUAACUAUGCACGUCUUGACGGUACCUAAUCAGAAAGCCACGGCUAACUACGUGCCAGCAGCCGCGGUAAUACGUAGGUGGCAAGCGUUAUCCGGAAUUAUUGGGCGUAAAGCGCGCGUAGGCGGUUUUUUAAGUCUGAUGUGAAAGCCCACGGCUCAACCGUGGAGGGUCAUUGGAAACUGGAAAACUUGAGUGCAGAAGAGGAAAGUGGAAUUCCAUGUGUAGCGGUGAAAUGCGCAGAGAUAUGGAGGAACACCAGUGGCGAAGGCGACUUUCUGGUCUGUAACUGACGCUGAUGUGCG
rnacentral:rRNA from 1 species